rnacentral:rRNA from 1 species
UACAGAGGUCCCAAGCGUUACUGAGAAUCACUGGGUUUAAAGGGUGCGUAGGUGGUCCGUCAAGUCAGUUGUGAAAUCCCCGGGCUCAACCCGGGAAAUGCUUCUGAUACUGGCGGACUUGAGGCCAGUAGGGGUCACUAGAACUGACGGUGGAGCGGUGAAAUGCGUAGAUAUCGCUUGGAACGCCGAAGGUGAAAACAGGUCGCUGGGGAUGUGCCGACGCUGAGACACGAAAGCCAGGGGAGCAAACGGG